GCCUUCGUGGUGUAAUGGGCAGCACACUCGGCGCGUAUUCGAGAGAUCCGAGUUUCGAGUCCCGUCGAGGGCA
rfam:Stegodyphus mimosarum contig6730, whole genome shotgun sequence.